UCGAGCGAGUCUGCCUUGAAGAUCGGAGUGCUUGCACUCUGUGAAACAAGAUACAGGCUAGCGGCGGACGGGUGAGUAACACGUGGGUAACCUGCCCAAGAGAUCGGGAUAACACCUGGAAACAGAUGCUAAUACCGGAUAACAACAGAUGAUGCCUAUCAACUGUUUAAAAGAUGGUUCUGCUAUCACUCUUGGAUGGACCUGCGGUGCAUUAGCUAGUUGGUAGGGUAACGGCCUACCAAGGCGAUGAUGCAUAGCCGAGUUGAGAGACUGAUCGGCCACAUUGGGACUGAGACACGGCCCAAACUCCUACGGGAGGCAGCAGUAGGGAAUCUUCCACAAUGGACGCAAGUCUGAUGGAGCAACGCCGCGUGAGUGAAGAAGGGUUUCGGCUCGUAAAGCUCUGUUGUUGGUGAAGAAGGACAGGGGUAGUAACUGACCUUUGUUUGACGGUAAUCAAUUAGAAAGUCACGGCUAACUACGUGCCAGCAGCCGCGGUAAUACGUAGGUGGCAAGCGUUGUCCGGAUUUAUUGGGCGUAAAGCGAGUGCAGGCGGCUCGAUAAGUCUGAUGUGAAAGCCUUCGGCUCAACCGGAGAAUUGCAUCAGAAACUGUCGAGCUUGAGUACAGAAGAGGAGGGUGGAACUCCAUGUGUAGCGGUGAAAUGCGUAGAUAUAUGGAAGAACACCGGUGGCGAAGGCGGCUCUCUGGUCUGUUACUGACGCUGAGGCUCGAAAGCAUGGGUAGCGAACAGGAUUAGAUACCCUGGUAGUCCAUGCCGUANACGAUGAGUGCUAAGUGUUGGGAGGUUUCCGCCUCUCAGUGCUGCAGCUAACGC
rnacentral:rRNA from 1 species